AGUAGAGCUCACUGAACAUUUUCCACUUUUGAGUGCUGCUCAAAUAAACUGUUAAAUUUAUUUAAUCUGAAGUUUCUAUUUUAACAGUUUCUAGAUAUCAGUAUGUUUUUCUAGAAAUUGAUAAAUGGAAAGAAUCAAGUGUUUUCACAGUAAAUCCUAUAUGUACAGGAAACUUAUACUGGGUUCUCAAUAUUUCUGUGCACAUUCAAUAUUUCCAACAAUUAUAGUUACUAUCUGAAAACUUUAAGGGAUUUAAAGACACAAGAUGACAAGAAACAAGUCCAUCAGCACUGAAGGAUAUUCACACUCAGUGUGACAACAGCUCACAGGGUACCAUGUGAUCUGCUGAUCCUGUGUCAGUUCUGCUCUUUGGAUAUGUCAAUGUUGCUAUAUAUGCCAAAGUGAGACUUUGAAUAUGUACCCUCAUUGGAAUUUGGGUACGCAGCACAGUUCUUUAUGAUACAUGUUCCUGGGAUCUCAUAGGUGGAUUUAGAAUUUUUGGUGCUUUAACCUGUGACUUGCCGUAUUUUCAUAUUUAAAGUUACGAGAGCAUCAAGUUAACAUAUAAUGAAGAUAAAAAGUGACACAGCUGCUCUUUCUAUAGUGAGAAACUGGUGAUAUGGUCCUUAAAAAUCUCUGCUAUUUCACAUGAGAAUAAGGAAACUAAAAGCAAAGCAACAAAUAUUUAUUGAGUACCUAUCACGCCCUAUGGACUGUUUACUUUAUGAAGCUUAAGUUCUGGAGAAGAGGGACAGAAGUGCCAGCUGGCCAUUCAUUUUCCAACAGCUUUCUUCAUACCUCGACACCAGUCCUGAUGACUCUGAUCCCAUACUCAUGAAGCCGACCUCAAACUUACAAGCACGUUGAAUCUGAGCUGAAUUUAUAGUUAAAGUGGCAUGCUUUCACAUAUUUUUAUAGAUGCUGGAAGAUGAGUACACCAGUUGGAUCAGUCCUGAAAACAUCAAAAGGCUGGAUGAUACAGGGAGGAAAAAGAGAAGGAACUCUGCUGAAAGAAAUACCAAAACUGUUAUUGUUCACGUGGUAGAAAAAGUAAUGAACGAAGUCUUAAGACCUGGGGUCUAGCUGCAGCUUUCCCCUAACUAGUCACAUGACCUUAAGCAAAUUCUGUCCCUCCCUCACAGAAUAAUGAGUGGAAUUCAACAAUUCUUUCUUCUUCUUCUUCUUCUUUUUUUUUUUUUGAGACAGAGUUUUGCUCUUGUUGCUGCCCAGGCUGGAGUGCAAUGGUGCGAUCUCGGCUUUCCGCAACCACCUCCGCCUCCCAGGUUCAAGAGAUUCUCCUGCCUCAGCCUCCUGAGUAGCUAGGAUUACAGGCAUGCGCCAGCAUGCCCAGCUAAUUUUGUAUUUUUAGUAGACACUGGGUUUCUGCAUGUUGGUCAGGCUGGUCUCGAACUCCCAACCUCCGAUGAUCUGCCUGCCUUGGCCUCCCAAAGUGCUGGCAUUACAAGGAAUUCAAUAAUUUCUAAGAUCCUUCAAACUUUCAUAUUUUUAAAACCAUAUAUUUGUCAGCAAAUACAUAUCAGAUGUCUGCAAUAUGCCAAGCAUUAUAUACCCACCUAUAAUAUUUUACUGCCUUUGUUUUCGAAGGACCACAUUUCUCUUUGGUUACUCAAGUUCCUCAUUGUGAAAUGUGACUAAUGAUGACUCUCCUGCUUAUUUUAGAACACAGAGGGAAAUUGUGUCUGAAAGUGAUUUGGAAAAUCUAAAAUGUUCUGCAGCAGCAGAUACCUUUGACAUAUUCAUUUGUAUUGUGGGAACAUAUGUACAGGUUUUUCUCUUUGAGAUAAUAAGCAAUAACCUGAAAAUGCUCUGUUUUACUUGAAAAUGUGUGAGAUGCCUGAUCCAGAGAGAAAUUAUCUUAAUACUGUUCUAGAGUUGUGUUUGCAUGUACACACAAAGCUGCUAAUUAGAUCACAGUAAAUGCACAAAGUAACAUUGUCUGCUUGAAGAAUAAAGAAUGUGUUCCGUGAGAGCUUGCCUAUUUUAUUCAUCAUUAUAUUUAUAAUAGUAAUAUUUGUUGAAGGAAUGAAUGAGUGAAGCAAUGAAAGAAUGCAGAUAGCA